CCUUUCUCCACGUAUAAAAUAUUUUUGCAUAAGAUUUUUUGCAUCAUUCUGAUAUUGGUCAACUUCUUUCUAAGUUUAUAAGAUAAAGAUAAAGUUUGAUUCAAAAUUUAAUUCAAAUUAAAUUUGAAUUGUUGAUAAAGAUCAACCAAUAUUUAAAUUUGAAUUGAAACCACCUCUUUCUUAUCCCUAUCUUCCAUGGG
rnacentral:lncRNA from 1 species